rnacentral:rRNA from 1 species
AACGAACGCUGGCGGCGCGUCUUAAACAUGCAAGUCGAACGGCAGGAAGGGGCUUGCCCCUUCUGAGAGUGGCGGACUGGUGAGUAACACGUGGGUGACAUACCUUUUAGUUGGGGAUAGCUAUUAGAAAUAGUAGGUAAUACCGAAUGUGACCGUACCUGUUAGAGGGGUACGAGGAAAGGAGCUAAGGCUUCGCUAAAAGAAUGGCUCGCGGCCCAUUAUGCUCGUUGGUGAGGUAACGGCCCACCAAGGCGAUGAUGGGUAUCCGGCCUGAGAGGGUGAACGGACACGUGGGGAAUGGAAACCGGCCCGGCUUUCUACGGAGGGCAGCAGUUAAGAUUAUUCGGCAAGGGCGGAAAGUCGAACGGGGCGACGCCGGGUGAAUGAAGAUUGCCGAAAGUUUGUAAAUCCUUUUAAGCCUGAUGAAUAAGCACAGUAGGGAAUGAUUGUGCGGUGACCGUAGGGCUUGAAUAAGCACCGGCUAAUUACGUG